rnacentral:rRNA from 1 species
UCUGUAGGCGGUGCGGCAAGUCGGGAGUGAAAUCUCAGGGCUUAACUCUGAGUCUGCUUUCGAAACUGCCGUGCUCGAGUGUGGGAGAGGUGAGUGGAAUUGCAGGUGUAGCGGUGAAAUGCGUAGAUAUCUGCAGGAACACCAGAGGCGAAGGCGGCUCACUGGACCACAACUGACGCUGAGAGACGAAAGCUAGGGGAGCAAACAGGAUUAGAUACCCUGGUAGUCCUAGCCCUAAACCAUCAGGACUUGGCGUGGGUCCCGUUCGGGGCCCGUGUCGGAGCUAACGCGUGAAGUCCUGCGCCUGGGGAGUACGGUCGCAAGGCUGAA